CAUGCCAUAAGCCAGCAGAUUUCCCCCAGGACACCUUCGUGCUUGGCCGUGCUGCUGCCAGAGAGGGGAGCUGGCUGGGUCUGUGCUUAUCCCAGAGGCAGUAAGUUGGGACAUGACCACCUGGAAGACCACACGUUCAGGUGCUUUACACCUUCAGGAGCUUUGCGGUUUUGGGACUUCAGCCUCCAUGUCCAAGUUUCUUGAAAUCCAACAGACACAUGUGCCCGCCUGCCCUGGGACACGCUUUCUGUCGGUCUCCCGUCCUGAGCACUCUUCAAAGUCUUGGGUUUUCGUGACUAUGUCAUUAAAAGGAAAAGCAUUUGUUGCUUGUGUGAAUUUUGGAGCCAGACCUGGAAUCUGUGAGGCCCAAAGCUGAGGAAAACAGGGAGAAGCUGCGUGCCUGUGUGUUGCAAAGCAAGUAUUUGUAAUGUAGGGGUUAGCGAGGAUUUCCAUGAUAUUUCCAUUUAGAAAAUCAGACCUUCAGUGAGUAUAAAAUGGAGUACUAUUUUCAAUUUCAGUUCAUAAUUUGAUGUAAUUUGAACUAAAUAGUUGGAAGAAAAAAGAACACUAAUCUCCAGAGAAACUAGAAUCCUGCUUUCCCACAAUGUCCCUGUUAACAUUUUGAAGAACAGCAAUUUUGAAGAUAAUUUUUGAAGAAAGCAUAGAAGGAGAGGUUUGUUUCUGUAAGAGUGCAAAGUAAAUCUUGUCUAAAAGGUCAGUUAUCAGGAACAAACCUCACCAGAUUUUGUGCCAUAUUGUUUAAUUAUUAUGGAGGAUAAUUACUAUGGGAACAUCAGUAACAGCAGUAAUGUCAAUAUUUCAUAAAGCUUUUAUAGAUUACAGGAAUACAUUGGAAAGUGUUGUAGUUCAUGAAAUAGCAAAAGCUGCUUGGGAGAAUGGUAUUUUUAUGGCAAUGACUCAUGUAGAGCUUUACACCACCUUUCUGGCCUGUAGUGGUCUCUUGAUCAGUUUACAGCUGCAAUGAGUCUUUCCUUUUUCCAAAUUUCAGAAGUCUUUUAAUUACUAUUAUAUGUUGCUGGUGAUCAAAGGUCAGGCCAGAAGCAUUAGCUUUGCCAAAUGAAAUUCAUUGUGUGCAACAUUGACUCUGUACCCUUAGAGUUCUCUGAGCUGAGGCACAUCCAUUUGCUGUGAAAAGUUAUCUAUUUCUUUUGCCAUUUAGGGCAUCAUCUUGCAAACAAUUAAUCACCAAGGACCCAGCCACUGAGUUCUUGCACAGAAAAUACUCAGCACUGGCAGGACAAGAUCCAGAGAGAA